UAAAUUUCUCUACUAACAUAAAUAAGCAUAGAAUUGCCUUUCCCUUUAGGUUACUCAUCUCCCAAUUUACAUUGCUCUUUUCCUCGACUUACAUAUUUUGCAAAUUUAGUUCUAAGGAGGAAGUUCAAACGUAAUGCCUCACUCUGAAGUUGGACAUUCUACAUUCGAUCUCCCUUCUGUUCCACCGUUGAAUUUGUCCUGCUUUUUCUUUAAAUCCAUUUGCAAAUACUCUUAACAUUUUGGUGAGUGUAUUUACUAUUUCGUGGCACAUGCUAUUUUUCGUUUGGGUUUGUUAAACUGAAUAUGGCAGACAUUUUUUGGUUUCAGUGUGUUCUGUGUGGUUUUGGGGUUGAAGAUUGGAUGAGAAUGAUAGUUAGUAAGCGAUGCAUAGGGAUUGAUAUUAGAGAGAUAGAGUAAAAUUAGAGUGACAUCCAAAAGAGCUCUGUCUAUUUUCAAAAUGGGAGGGAGAUGUCACUAGGGUUUAGGGUCUCUAGUCUAUUUUCUAUUUUCUAACCUCGUCCUCUGUCUAUUUUCUAUUUUAGAAAAGAGUGCAACCCGCCACCAGAAGAAAAUCUAUCUAUUAUGACAAUAUAUCUCACAAAAUUGGAGGGAGAGAAAAAACUGUCACAAAAUAGAAAAUAUUGUGUUUUUAGCGGAAAAAGACGGAAUUUUUCGGAUAAUACUUCCCCCGACAGUUAUUUAAUGUCAUAGAAUGUUACCAUUAAAAAAUUUAUUAUUUUAUAUUUAAAAAUUUUAUUAUUUUAUAUUUAAAAAAUUAAAAUUACAACUUUAUAUUUUAAAAAAGCACAAUUUCCCCUUCUAAACCCUUAAUUUUUUCCCAAUUGCUUCCUCUCAUCUGCGUUUCUCCCCUAAAUUUUCCUCAUUCCUCUUGUGCGCGUUUCUUCCCAUUCCGGCCAUCUUAAGUCUCGUUGCCACCACUUCCCUCCUCGUGCCCGUCCGUCCAAACCUCCUCCUCCUCGUCACCAACACCCUGUCGCCACCACCCCGUCUUCUCCAAACCUCCGCAAUCAACUUGAAGCUUCAAAUCGUGGACAUCGGUCGUCACCCCUCCGCCGGACAAGUGGGGGAAAGAAGAAAGGAAAAGAUCAUACAAGACAUAUCACGCAAAGGCUACGCGAUGGAUCUAGCUUGGAGGUUAACAAACCCAGAGAAGAAACCAACACAUCACGCGAGGAAAGCUCACAAAAAGAUAAGGAUGUUAGUUGGGAUGACGUGACCUCAGUGGCCAGAUGUUAGCACUAACAAACUCAGAGGAAUAGAAGUUUUCCACCGAAAAGCAGCCUAUACAAGCAUUUCGUCUUCACCAACAGGAGGAGGCCCCGACAGAUCAAAGAAGGUUUGGAUAGACCUUAAGAGAGUUGGAGUGAGCUACCUGAAGAGUGUAUAGCCGUGAUGAAGAAGAAGACUAUUUAUGUUGAUUUCCUAACUUGUAACAGUGAUUCAUUUUCAUUGUCUUCCAUUUUAUUCUUUCAUUUAUAUUGUAUACUUCAUAUGGUACAUAUUGUUAUUAGGUUAACUAACCUAUGUUCUUUGAUAUAUUUAUGUAAACAUAGACGUUCAAUCUGUCA